rnacentral:rRNA from 1 species
UACAGAGGGUGCGAACGUUGCUCGGAAUUACUGGGCGUAAAGCGCGUGUAGGCGGGUCGCAAGUCAGGCGUGAAAUCCCCAGGCUCAACCUGGGAACUGCGCUUGAAACUGCCGGUCUUGAGUGUCGGAGAGGGUGGCGGAAUUCCUGGUGUAGAGGUGAAAUUCGUAGAUAUCAGGAGGAACACCGGUGGCGAAGGCGGCCACCUGGACGACAACUGACGCUGAGACGCGAAAGCGUGGGGAGCAAACGGG